AGGGGUGUUUCAUCAAUUCAAACCCCAGUGACACUAAAAAUUUUGACCGACAAAACAAAGGCUGCUUUGCAACCUUCUUGUGUAUCUGAAUAAGAAAGAGUGAAGAGAGAGAGGAGAGAUGGAUAAUUUCAACGCAGGAGGAGGAGGAGGAAAUUGGAGUAUGAUCCCAUCCAUCCCGACCCACAGCCACAGUAACACCUCUACACCUUCCAAUCAAGACCACCUUUACCUCAAUCCCCAGCAACCACAACCACAAUCACAAUCACAACAGUUUCAACUUCAUCCACAACAACAACAACAAUUGCACUAUCAGCAGCAGCAGCAACAACAACAGCGUAUCCUUCAACAACAACAACAGCAGCAACAGCAACAACAGCAACAGCAUCAGCACCAAUCACUCGCCUCUCACUUCCACCUCUUACAUAUGGUGGAGAAUUUAGCGGAAGUUAUUGACCAUGGAACCAGGGACCAGCAAUCAGAUACUUUGGUGGCUGAGUUGAACACCCACUUUGAGAAGUGCCAGGUGCUGUUGAAAUCAAUUGCGUCUUCAAUUCCCACCAAGGCUAUGACAGUUGACAGUCAGAAGCGGAAGCUGGAGGAAAGUGAGCAGUUGUUGAAUCAGCGGAGGGAUCUGAUUGCAAAGUACCGAAGCUCUGUUGAAGGACUUAUCAAGUCCGAGCCAUAACCCUAUCACCCUUGUUUUAUGUGGUUUGCAAGAACAACGUUUCCUGUCUGUUCUUACCAAGGAGUGGAUCUUUUCUGCUGAAUGUCAUUAACUAGCCUUUCUUGGCCAUUUUGUUGGCAGACUCCUUCAAUAACAUAAUAUCCUCAAGGCUUUGCAAUUUCAGGUCUAGUUGCUUUCAGAGCAUUCUGUACAAGCUCCCAAGUUCUAAAGGAAAGCCAGAGGUCCUAGAACUGUGGGAUUAGAUUUGUUUCUGCAGUUCUUCAUGUGCUAUGUUGUUAUUGUGUUUACCUAUUAACAUGUAUGACAGCUCCAUGAAAUGGUCAUUGGUUGAUCCAGAUUUAAUGAGACACUUUGGUGACCUAAAAGCUUAUCUCCAAAUUGCUUCUAUUUAUU